AGCAAAACCAUCGUCAAGUAUCUUUGUUUCCAUCUGUGUUGCCGUGAUAUAAGGUUGUCCUAAAAUCAACGGAUAAGACGUUGUAUCUUGAACAAAGAAAUGUUGCUCCGUCACAACAUCCCCAAUCCGAAUUUUGACAUCUGGACAAGCUCCAUAUAAUUCGCCUCGUGUGUUAUUAGCUGCUCGUAUUGCCCAUCCAUGUUCCAUAUC
rnacentral:lncRNA from 1 species